rnacentral:lncRNA from 1 species
CGCGUCGGGGGUGGAGGAGCUACUAGGAGUGUUAAACCAUGGGUUGGGGCGUUUGCAGGGCUGGGGUCAGGAGGUCAGGGCUCACCGGCCUGGUCUCCACCUCGGAUGAGCCACGUGAACUCACUGGGCCUCAGUUUGCUCAUCGGCCAGGAGCCCCCUCGCGGGCUGGGGUUGAUCCCAUGGCAAACAGCAGUGGCAGGAGGGCCCUGCACCCACGCCCACUACCUCCAUCACCAGCACCAGCGGCACGGCCCUGCAUCCAUGCCGGCUAUCUCCAUCAUCAUCAGCACCAGCGGGAGGGCCCGGCACCCACACCCAUUACCUCCAUCAUCAAGAGCACCUGCGGGAGAGCCCCUGCACCCACACCCGCUAUCUCUAUCAUCACCAGCACCUGCGGGAGGGCCCCCGCACCCAGGCCCACUAUAUCCAUCAUCACCAGCACCUGCGGGAGAGCCCAUGCACCCACGCCCGCUAUCUCCAUCAUCACCAGCACCUGCGGGAUGGCCCACACACCCAUGCCUGCUAUCUCCAUCAUCACCAGCACCUGCGGGAGGGGCCCCCGCAUCCAUGACCGCUAUCUCCA